UGGGGAAUCAUGGUCAAUGGACAAAAGUCUGAUCUAGCAACACCGCGUGUGCGAAGAAGGCCUUCGGGUCGUAAAGCACUUUUGGAAGGAAUAGGAAGGAAUGUACUUCCAGAAUAAGUCUCGGCUAACUACGUGCCAGCAGCCGCGGUAACACGUAGGAGGCAAACGUUAUCCGGAUUUACUGGGCGUAAAGCGCGUGUAGGUGGUACUGUAAGUAGGGCGUGAAAGCUCCUGGCUCAACUGGGAGAGGCCGUUCUAAACUACAGAACUAGAGGAUGGUAGAGGGAGGUGGAAUUCCAGGUGUAGCGGUAGAAUGCGCAGAUAUCUGGAGGAACACCGGUGGCGAAGGCGGCCUCCUGGACCAUUCCUGACACUCAGACGCGAAAGCUAGGGUAGCAAACG
rnacentral:rRNA from 1 species